ensembl:lncRNA
GUAGGGCAAUGCGGAGGCUGCAAGGCAUAGCCUAGGCCUUGAAGAAACGUCAGAGCUGUGUGAGAGAGGGUUGCAGAGUGGAUGUGGGUGGAAGGGAUUCUAGUGGAAGAAAGCUUCAAGAGGCAGUACUGGGACUUGCGGCAAAAAGGAGAGUAUAAGAAAGCAACAGAAAGGAGAGUAAAAGAGAGAAGGCUGGAGAGUAAGGUGGGACCAUAUCAUGAGUCCAGGAGUUAGAAUUUUCAUGUCACAAAUCCUAUCACAAGGGGCAUCAGAAAGCAAAUAUUACCUCACCAUACCACCCUGGCCAUCUCCAUGGUGACGCUGGGCAAAGAGGCCAAGCAGAGGCUGCAGUAGCUUUUCGAGGGCAGCCAAUUUUCCAUCUGCUGGGGCUUUAUUCGUCUCAUGACUUACCUGGAACUAAAGAAUGGUAUAGAGCCUGGGAUGUCUGAGCCAAUCGUUUUGAGCCUGCUUUGGAGAUAAAGGACUAUUUGAUCAUCUGGAUUUGGAAGCCAUCAGUGGGCAGGAACAACAUGGAGGUGUCAAUUUGACUGGAUUCAGGGACAUGCAGAUAACUGCUGGUGAAGCAUUGUUUCUAGGUAUGUCUGUGAGGGUGUUCCAGAAGAGACUGGCAUUUGAAUAACUGGACCAGGAAGAUUCCCCCCUCACCCAGUGAAGGCCCAUACCAUCCAGUUGGCUCAGGGCCUGACAGAACAAAAAGGCAGAAGAAAGGCAAAUUUGCUCACUCUCUUCUGGAACUGGGACACCCAUCUUCUCCUGCCCUUGGACAUCAGAACUUCCAGGCCUCUGGACUCCAGGAGUUGUACCAGAUACUCCCCAGUUUUCAAGCCAUCAGCUUAGGACUGAGAGUUACACCGGUGGCUCCUCUGGUCCUCGGGCCCUUGAACUUGGACUGAGCCAUGCUACCAUCUUCCCUUGUUCAUCUUGCAGACAGGAUAUUGUGGGACUUCUCAGCCUCCAUAAUCAAGGUCUCACUCCAGUUGCCCAGGCCGUGUGUGGCAUGAUCUCAUCUCACCGCAGCCUCAACCUCCGAAGCUCAGGUGAUUCUCUCAUCUCAGCCUCCUGAGUAGCUGGGACUACGAGCACACACAAUCAUGCCCAGUUAACUUUUUUGUAUUUUUAAUAGAGACGGAGUUUCGCCAUGUUGCCCAGGCUGGUCUCAAACUCCUGGCCUCAAGUAGUCUGCCCGCCUCAGCCUCCCAAAGUGCUGGGAUUAUAGCUGUGAUUGUGCCCAGCCUUGAAUCCUCAUUUCAGAAUUUGUUCCUCGAGAAUUCAAACCAAGAAAAAUGGUUACAAAAUAAUAGCUAUAACCUCAAUAAUGAAGAAAGACUAGAGAAAAAUAUAAAAAUGUUAAUCCAGUUAAUCUCUAAAUUGGAAAAAUAAGUUUGGCUCUUACUUUUAAUAUUCUUUGUGUAUAUUUUCCAAAGGUAUAAAAUAUGUGUAUAUUACCUUUAUCAGAAAAAAGUGGUUUUAUGAAACAUGAAAAAAUGAGUCGUGUAUAAUGAAAAGAUUUUUCUAUGAAAUUUAAAAUGUAACAGUUUCCAUAGUUAAGGUAAAAUUUGUGUUCUAAAGUUUUUUGUGGUAGAAGUCCUGUUUUUAACUUACUGGGCCCUUCCUGCCUCCCUUGGACAGUGAUUCCAGUAUCAUGUGACCCACACUCACCAAUCACAGCGAAUUGAGCCAGGGAGCACCACAUCUGAGUCCCCCCAAAAAUCAAUCCAUAAUCUGGCCAAAAUUCCAUCAGUUUCUCUCUAGAAUUUGACAGAAGAAAUGCAGUGCCUGUGAUUACAUGACCAUGAAAAUUACAUAUUCAAGGCCCCUGGCUGGCUCACACCACAUGCAAGUUGAAGUUGUGUGGAGGAGCAGAAACCAUGGGAAAUAGAGGAUGCUGAUCUGCCAUGGAA